UCGGAUAUGGUGUAUCGGCUAGCAUCGCCCGCUUUCAAUUGGGAGCACCGGGCAGAGCCGGGUUCGACUCCCGGUAUCCGAA